rnacentral:rRNA from 1 species
CUACGGGUGGCACCAGUGAGGAAUAUUGCACAAUGGGGGGAACCCUGAUGCAGCAACGCCGCGUGGAGGAUGACGCAUUUCGGUGUGUAAACUCCUUUUAUAUGUCAAGAAAAUGACGGUAGCAUAUGAAUAAGCACCGGCUAACUCCGUGCCAGCAGCCGCGGUAAUACGGAGGGUGCAAGCGUUACUCGGAAUCACUGGGCGUAAAGGACGCGUAGGGGGGUUGGAAAGUCAGGUGUGAAAUCCUACAGCUUAACUGUAGAACUGCACUUGAAACUUCUAAUCUAGAGUAUGGGAGGGGGAGAUGGAAUUAGUGGUGUAGGGGUAAAAUCCGUAGAUAUCACUAGGAAUACCUAAGGCGAAGGCGAUCUCCUGGAACAUUACUGACGCUAAGGCGUGAAAGCGUGGGGAGCAAACAGGAUUAAUACCCUCGUAGUC